rnacentral:rRNA from 1 species
AUUGAACGCUGGCGGCAGGCCUAACACAUGCAAGUCGAACGAGUGGCGGACGGGUGAGUAAUGUAUGGGAAACUGCCUGAUGGAGGGGGAUAACUACUGGAAACGGUAGCUAAUACCGCAUACCAUCAGAUGUGUCCAGAUGGUAUUAGCCCGUUGGUGGGGUAACGGCUCACCAAGGCGACGAUCCCUAGCUGGUCUGAGAGGAUGACCAGCCACACUGGAACUGGUACACGGUCCAGACGCCUACGGGAGGCAGCAGUUGGGAAUAUUUCACAAGGGGCGCAAUCCUGAUGCAGCCAUGCCGCGUGUAUGAAGAAGGCCUUCGGGUUGUAAAGUACUUGCAUCGGGGAGGCGUUACCCGCAGAAGAAGCACCGGCUAACUCCGUGCCAGCAGCCGCGGUAAUAC